rnacentral:rRNA from 1 species
UAUCGGAACGUGCCCUAGAGUGGGGGAUAACUAGUCGAAAGACUAGCUAAUACCGCAUACGAUCUACGGAUGAAAGUGGGGGAUCGCAAGACCUCAUGCUCCUGGAGCGGCCGAUAUCUGAUUAGCUAGUUGGUGGGGUAAAAGCCUACCAAGGCAACGAUCAGUAGCUGGUCUGAGAGGACGACCAGCCACACUGGGACUGAGACACGGCCCAGACUCCUACGGGAGGCAGCAGUGGGGAAUUUUGGACAAUGGGGGCAACCCUGAUCCAGCAAUGCCGCGUGAGUGAAGAAGGCCUUCGGGUUGUAAAGCUCUUUUGUCAGGGAAGAAACGGUUUUGGAUAAUACCCAGAGCUAAUGACGGUACCUGAAGAAUAAGCACCGGCUAACUACGUGCCAGCAGCCGCGGUAAUACGUAGGGUGCAAGCGUUAAUCGGAAUUACUGGGCGUAAAGCGUGCGCAGGCGGUUGUGUAAGUCAGAUGUGAAAUCCCCGGGCUCAACCUGGGAAUUGCAUUUGAGACUGCACGGCUAGAGUGUGUCAGAGGGGGGUAGAAUUCCACGUGUAGCAGUGAAAUGCGUAGAUAUGUGGAGGAAUACCGAU